rnacentral:rRNA from 1 species
UCUGGAAACUNUCUGACUUGAGUGCAGAAGGGGAGAGUGGAAUUCCAUGUGUAGCGGUGAAAUGCGUAGAUAUAUGGAGGAACACCAGUGGCGAAAGCGGCUNUCUGGUCUGUCACUGACGCUGAGGCUCGAAAGCGUGGGUAGCGAACAGGAUUAGAUACCCUGGUAGUNCACGCCGUAAACGAUGAGUGCUAGGUGUUAGGCCCUUUCCGGGGCUUAGUGCCGGAGCUAACGCAAUAAGCACUCCGCCUGGGGAGUACGACCGCAAGGUUGAAACUCAAAGGAAUUGACGGGGGCCCGCACAAGCGGUGGAGCAUGUGGUUUAAUUCGAAGCAACGCGAAGAACCUUACCAGGUCUUGACAUCCCGAUGCUAUUCUUAGAGAUAGGAAGUUACUUCGGUACAUCGGAGACAGGUGGUGCAUGGUUGUCGUCAGCUCGUGUCGUGAGAUGUUGGGUUAAGUCCCGCAACGAGCGCAACCCUUAUUGUUAGUUGCCAUCAUUAAGUUGGGCACUCUAGCGAGACUGCCGGUAAUAAACCGGAGGAAGGUGGGGAUGACGUCAAAUCAUCAUGCCCCUUAUGACCUGGGCUACACACGUGCUACAAUGGUCGGUACAACGAGUUGCGAGCCGGUGACGGCAAGCUAAUCUCUGAAAGCCGAUCUCAGUUCGGAUUGGAGGCUGCAACUCGCCUCCAUGAAGUCGGAAUCGCUAGUAAUCGCGGAUCAGCACGCCGCGGUGAAUACGUUCCCGGGCCUUGUACACACCGCCCGUCACACCACGAGAGUUUGUAACACCCGAAGUCGGUGAGGUANCCUUUUAGGG